rnacentral:lncRNA from 1 species
CCGUGCGGCUCCAUUACUCCCUGGCAGGCAACAGUAACGGCCACGACUCUGCUCCACUUCCUGCGAUGGAUACUGUGCGGCUCCCCCACCCUCUGGCAAGUCGCGACAACGGACGUCGCUUCACUCCCCGCAACGGACUCCACAUGGCAGAUCGCAGUGAUGGCCAUGAUUCCACUCCACUACGUUUCAUAACAAACUCCUCCCAGCCCC